UACGUAUGGGGCGAGCGUUGUUCGGAAUUAUUGGGCGUAAAGGGCGUCUAGGCGGGAAAUUAAGUUAGGUGUGAAAGCUAUGGGCUCAACCCAUAAACUGCAUCUAAAACUGAUUUUCUUGAGUUCGGGAGAGGAGAGCGGAAUUCCAGGUGUAGCGGUGAAAUGCGUAGAUAUCUGGAAGAACACCAGUGGCGAAGGCGGCUCUCUGGCCUAGAACUGACGCUGAAGCGCGAAAGCGUGGGGAGCGAACAGGAUUAGAUACCCUGGUAGUCCACGCUGUAAACGUUGUAUACUAGGUGUUAGUGGCUUGUCCACUAGUGCCGCAGCAAACGCAUUAAGUAUACCGCCUGGGGAGUACGCCCGCAAGGGUG
rnacentral:rRNA from 1 species